UCAGGACGAACGCUGGCGGCGUGCCUAACACAUGCAAGUCGAACGAGGUCCAUCCUUCGGGAGAAGACCUAGUGGCGAACGGGUGAGUAACACGUGAGGAACCUGCCCCGAAGACCGGGAUAACCCUCCGAAAGGAGAGCUAAUACCGGAUACCCCCACCGAACCGCAUGGUUUGGUGAGGAAAUGGAUUCCGCUUCGGGAGGGCCUCGCGGCCUAUCAGCUAGUUGGUGGGGUAACGGCCCACCAAGGCAUCGACGGGUAGCUGGUCUGAGAGGACGAUCAGCCACACUGGGACUGAGACACGGCCCAGACUCCUACGGGAGGCAGCAGUGGGGAAUCUUGCGCAAUGGGCGAAAGCCUGACGCAGCAACGCCGCGUGGGGGAUGAAGGCUCUCGGGUUGUAAACCCCUUUCAGCAGGGACGAAUCAAGACGGUACCUGCAGAAGAAGCCCCGGCUAACUACGUGCCAGCAGCCGCGGUAACACGUAGGGGGCAAGCGUUGUCCGGAUUUAUUGGGCGUAAAGAGCUCGUAGGUGGCUGAGUAAGUCGGAUGUUAAAUCCCCAGGCUCAACCUGGGACACCACCCGAUACUGCUCUGGCUAGAGUCCGGUAGGGGAGCGUGGAAUUCCUGGUGUAGCGGUGAAAUGCGCAGAUAUCAGGAGGAACACCAGCGGCGAAGGCGGCGCUCUGGGCCGGUACUGAC
rnacentral:rRNA from 1 species